GUAGGUGGCAAGCGCUGUCCGGAAUUAUUGGGCGUAAAGCGCGCGCAGGCGGUUCUUUAAGUCUGAUGUGAAAGCCCACGGCUCAACCGUGGAGGGUCAUUGGAAACUGGAGAACUUGAGUACAGAAGAGGAAAGCGGAAUUCCACGUGUAGCGGUGAAAUGCGUAGAGAUGUGGAGGAACACCAGUGGCGAAGGCGGCUUUCUGGUCUGUAACUGACGCUGAGGCGCGAAAGCGUGGGGGGAGCAAACAGGAUUAGAUACCCUGGUAGUCCACGCCGUAAACGAUGAGUGCUAAGUGUUAGGGGGUUUCCGCCCCCCCCCUUAGUGCUGCAGCUAACGCAUUAAGCACUCCGCCUGGGAGUACGGCCGCAAGGCUG
rnacentral:rRNA from 1 species